AUGCAAGUCGCGGGAAUCCCAGCAAUGGGGGAACCGGCGUAAGGGGCAGUAAGGCGUGGGUACCUACCCUGGGGUCUGGGAUAGCCGUCCGAGAGGGCGGGUAAUACCGGAUGACCUCGGGAGAGCAAAGCUCUGGCGCCCUGGGAGGGGCCCACGUGAUAUUAGCUAGUUGGCGGGGUAACGGCCCACCAAGGCGGAGAUGUCUAGCGGGUGUGAGAGCACGACCCGCGCCACUCGCACUGAGACACUGGCGAGACACCUACGGGUGGCUGCAGUCGAGGAUCUUCGGCAAUGUGCGCAAGCACGACCGAGCGACGCCGCGUGGGCGACGAAGGCCUUCGGGUUGUAAAGCCCUGUCGAGGGGGAGAAAAGCCGGAAACGGUGUGAUCUAUCCCUGGAGGAAGCUCGGGCUAAGUUCGUGCCAGCAGCCGCGGUAAGACGAACCGAGCGAACGUUGUUCGGAAUCACUGGGCUUAAAGGGCGCGUAGGCGGGCUGCCAAGUUUGGGGUGAAAUCCUCCGGCUCAACCGGGGAAGUGCCUUGAAUACUGGCGGUCUGGAGGGAGGUAGGGGCGUGCGGAACUGUGGGUGGAGCGGUGAAAUGCGUUGAUAUCCACAGGAACUCCGGUGGCGAAG
rnacentral:rRNA from 1 species